CCUACGGGGGGCAGCAGUGGGGAAUAUUGGACAAUGGGGGGAACCCUGAUCCAGCCAUGCCGCGUGUGUGAAGAAGGCCCUCGGGUUGUAAAGCACUUUCAGUGAGGAAGAACGCCUGGUGGUUAAUACCCAUCAGGAAAGACAUCACUCACAGAAGAAGCACCGGCUAACUCCGUGCCAGCAGCCGCGGUAAUACGGAGGGUGCGAGCGUUAAUCGGAAUUACUGGGCGUAAAGUGCGCGUAGGUGGCUUGAUAAGCCGGUUGUGAAAGCCCCGGGCUCAACCUGGGAACGGCAUCCGGAACUGUCAAGCUAGAGUGCAGGAGAGGAAGGUAGAAUUCCCGGUGUAGCGGUGAAAUGCGUAGAGAUCGGGAGGAAUACCAGUGGCGAAGGCGGCCUUCUGGACUGACACUGACACUGAGGUGCGAAAGCGUGGGUAGCAAACAGGAUUAGAUACCCUAGUAGUC
rnacentral:rRNA from 1 species